UCCCUGGAGGACUAGUGGUUAGAUCUCAGCGCUCUCAUCGCCACGGCUCGGGUUCGAUUCCCAACAAGGGAA